UUUAAAUUGAGAGUUUGAUCCUGGCUCAGGACGAACGCUGGCGGCGUGCCUAACACAUGCAAGUCGAGCGAUGAAGCUUCCUUCGGGAAGUGGAUUAGCGGCGGAC
rnacentral:rRNA from 1 species